GAUGUAAGGAGAGGUGAAACCUUAACAAUAUAAACUAAUAAAAUACCUACUAAGCGUGCUUAAAGGACAAACACUAGACAUUGAUAUACUUAAGAGUUUAUUUAAUAAUUGUUAUAAUUUUAGAAAGAUUUUUUUACAGUUAUAUCAAGGCCAAAAAAUAUCUAAUUGAUGCAAGGAGAGGUGAAACCUUAACCAAAUAGGAAUACUACAUUUUAAGUGCAAAGGGGAAAAAUGACUAAAGUUGUCAAGAUUAUUUAUCUUGUAUUUUUCUUUAUUUUCAUAUUUCUUGUGCCAUCAACUAUUGGAGGUAUUAAUAGAUGUUUCAGAGAUUCUGAUUGUCACCCAAGCAUUUGCAAAGGAUCAUUAAUACCGAAGUGUAUCGGUAAACGAUGUAGAUGUGUUUAUCCUAUACAAGCAUGAAUCAAAUAUUAAAAAAAAAAGUAAAAGGGGUACUCUAAACUUUAGAAACAGACUCCAAUAAAUUACCAACUCAGAAAAAAAAAAAGGGUUAAUACCUAUUUUUCUUCCUGCCAUAUGGGGUGUAGUUGAAAAACCUUGCCAAAAAAAAGGGUUAAUACCUAUUUUGCCUCCUGCCAUAUGUCACGGGCCUUUUGGUCUGAAAAGCCCAGAAACGCUGGAUUAAAAGGAGGAAAACGCGUUGGGAGAAUGGAUGGACAGUUUUGGGUGCGAAAAUACAUUAGAGAAGCUGGAGAAUGCAGAUUCUAAGUAAGGAUUGAAGAUUUCCAUUAGCGUUCGCGAUUGAAGAUCUGAUCCCCUUUGUUUAUCUGUAAUGUCUACAAUUCAAACUAUGAUUUUUGUUAUUGUUAUGAGUAGCUAAAUCCCCCAAUGCUAGGGGGGUGACCCUAAUUUUGAUCUGUAAUGAGUAAAAUUAUAUUUUUGCAAUGAUAAUUUGGUUUAUUCUA